rnacentral:rRNA from 1 species
CUUGGUAGGGAUACCCGCUGAACUUAAGCAUAUCAAU